rnacentral:rRNA from 1 species
AGUGAACGCUGGCGGCGUGCUUAACACAUGCAAGUCGGACGAGAACGGGCUAUAGCUUGCUAUAGUUGUCAGCCAAGUGGCGCACGGGUGAGUAAUGUAUAGGUAAUAUGCCUCUUACUAAGGGAUAGCAAAUGGAAACGUUUGCUAAUACCUUAUACUCCUUAUUAACAGAAGUUAAUAAGGGAAAGAUUUAUUGGUAAGAGAUUAGCCUGUAUUGUAUCAGUUAGUUGGUGGGGUAAUGGCUUACCAAGACUAUGACACAUAACUGGUUUGAGAGGAUGAUCAGUCACACUGGAACUGAGACACGGUCCAGACUCCUACGGGAGGCAGCAGUGGGGAAUAUUGCACAAUGGACGAAAGUCUGAUGCAGCAACGCCGCGUGGAGGAUGACACAUUUCGGUGCGUAAACUCCUUUUAUAUGAGAAGAUAAUGACGGUAUUAUAUGAAUAAGCACCGGCUAACUCCGUGCCAGCCGCCGCGGUAA